GAAUUGUCAGCAUACAUUUUUGUCUGGGUAAGUAAGUUUUAUAGCUUUAUAGUUGCCUUGGCUAAAUGUUUUAAGGUGUCACAGUUUGGCACAAAGGUUCUGAGACUAUAAACCCAACUGAAAACAGAGUAAUCUUUGUGCAAUUUUUUUUUUUAAAAAUAAACUUUACAACUGUUAGUUUAACAAAAACAGCUAAAUCUUCUGAGUUACUGGCAAAAUGCCCAGUGUUUAAGGUUCUUAGUUAGAUGUAUAUCUGAUAUUCAGACUUUAAAAAUGGUUAACAGGGAAAUAACUUUAAAUAAUGACCAACUUUAUGUGAUAUCUCAGUUUUCAAUAGUAAUCUAGAUAGGCUGUUAAAAAUGAGAAAAUAUUGAGUACAUAUAAAUGAGAUAAAUGCUUAUAGAUUUUUUGUGUAAUUUAAAACCCUAAAAAUUUUAAAUUAAAUAAUACUCAUUCACCCUUUCUACUUUCCCAUACAUUAAGGCAUAGAACGGUUGAGGACAGUGUAAAUCCAGGUAAUGGGUCAAGACCUUUACGAACUGAAAAUAAAGUGCUACUAAAAUCCUAGAGAAACCAAGGGCCAGACCAACAGCUAGCCAAAAAGUAGACAGUAACUCAACCAUCCAUUCAUCUGUCAGACUGGACGGAAUAAGACCAUGGAUACAUCACACUAAGGUGAAGGCAGCUCCUCCUCAACCUGAUGCCUCAGACAACCGGACUGCUUGGUCAUGUAAACCAAGAGGACCUAAAGUUAUUUAUUAAAGAAAAAUCAUACAAAUAAGUAACACCCUUCUGUUAACAUGAAUUGUUAAUGAAUUGUACAGUUAUAAGUACAUUCUUUAUCUUUGCUAAAACUAACCUGUUUGCUGAAUGGGCACAGCUGGUGAGUUACCCUAAAAUAAGACUGUUGGGUCUGCGGGGUGCCACCCCUUUCUUUAAUCACAGGCUUGCCAUGGUGCAUACAAACUGCUAACCUGAGCACUUGAGUAUUUUUAUACUUGGGGUAAAAAUACUCACCUGUUUCCCUUCUAUGAUUAGAGCAGCACUUACCAUGAGUUCCCCACCUCUGAGAAAACACAUAAACAUAUUUUCCUUCUGUUUCAUAAACAGGUUAACGCCACCCCCACUACAGGAUAUGCCAUACACGAUGGCAUAGGAUGGCUGAUGGCAGCGUAAAUCCAGGUACUUCAUGCACAGUGCUCCCUUGUAUAAUUGUGCUUACUUAGAAUUCCAGGGACUAAUUUUAAAGCAAAACAGACACAGAGACUAAACAAAUCAGCCGCGCAAUCCUCCCACUUAGGGGCAGUUAUGAACAGUUCAUCCACCACCCCUGGGCCAAUAUCAAGAUGAUGCAAACUGGACUCCAGAUGGGCAGAUUACUCAAGAAAACCAUCAGAAGACGACAUGCAAGACCUGCACCUGACUGCACCGCUCCCACUUAUUUCCCACACCAAGUUUCCCUCUUAAACUCCCUCACUCAGCCCAAAACGUUGGAAUGGUCUUUUAAGGCAUGAGCCUGGCCAUUUCCCAAUUGCUAACAUUUGAUUAGUAAAACUGCUUUCCUUUCACUACA